rnacentral:tRNA from 1 species
UACAUUUUAGUAUAUGAUGUACUGGAACUUUUGAUGUUCCAAGAGUCGGCUUGAGCCCGAUAAAUGUAG